rnacentral:rRNA from 1 species
GACGAACGCUGGCGGCGUGCUUAACACAUGCAAGUGGAGCGACGAACCAGGGCUUGCCCUGGGGCAGAGCCGCGAACGGGUGAGUAACACGUGGGUAACCUGCCCCGAUGACCGGGACAACCCGAGGAAACUCGGGCUAAUACCGGAUGUGCUUGCGCCACAUCAGUGGUGUCAGGAAAGUUAGCUUCGGCUUCCGCAUCGGGAUGGGCCCGCGGCCCAUUAGCUUGUUGGUGAGGUAAUGGCUCACCAAGGCUUCGAUGGGUAGCUGGUCUGAGAGGACGAUCAGCCACACUGGGACUGAGACACGGCCCAGACUCCUACGGGAGGCAGCAGUGGGGAAUCUUGCGCAAUGCGCGAAAGCAUGACGGAGCGAUGCCGCGUGCGGGAUGAAGGCCCUUGGGUUGUAAACCGCUGUCAGAGGGGAUGAAAUCUCCGGAGGUUCUCCUCCGGAGUUGACAGAGCCUCAGAGGAAGCACGGGCUAAGUAUGUGCCAGCCGCCGCGGUAA